rnacentral:tRNA from 1 species
GGACGUGUAGCUCAGUUGGAUAGAGCGGUCGAUUGCUAAUCGACAGGUCGGGAGUUCGAAUCUCCUCUCGUAUU